rnacentral:lncRNA from 1 species
ACAUCGGAACAUGAAUACCUUACAAAUUGCAUACUUACAUUUUCAUUCACUAAAAAUAAUAAGAAACAGAUAGAAAUUGAAAGGAAAACAGUCGAGAAAAUUAAAGAAAUAACAAAAGGGAAGGUGGUGUUGUCAUGGUAAAACCCGCCUGAAAAUGAUAUCAAAACCACCCCAAAAAUCGAUCCCCCCGUCACUAUUCCAACGACCCUCUUUGUCGGAAAAUGACAAAAAAUCACUGAAUCUCUCUCCGUUCGGCUGUCACCAUCCAUCAGUGGCUAGCGAAUUAGGCAAACCAACCAGCCCCGUGUCAUCAGCGACGCCAUCCGUGCCACCGCCUUUUCAGAUCUGCCUACGCUUGCGCUACUUUUUUUUCUCUCACCAUUUGUGUCCGCCCGAAAAUAGGCAAAUCGGGUUGUAUUUUUUUUUUCCACAAACCUUUUAUCUUAGACAGAGGAAAAUUAUAAACAGAAGUUGAAGUUUCUUUGGCCACUUUUUUUGACCGGAU